rnacentral:rRNA from 1 species
ACUCCGAAUCAUCUGGUUAAGAGUUUGAUCAUGGGCUCACAUUGAACUAAGGCGGCAGGCCUAACACAUGCAAGUCGAACGGUAACAGGAAGCAGCUUGCUGCUUUGCUGACGAGUGGCGGACGGGUGAGUAAUGUCUGGGAAACUGCCUGAUGGAGGGGGAUAACUACUGGAAACGGUAGCUAAUACCGCAUAACGUCGCAAAGACCAAAGAGAGGGGACCUUCGAGGCCUCUUGCCAUCGGAUGUGCCCAGAUGGGAUCAGCUAGUAGGUGGUGGUAACGGCUCACCUAGAGCGACGAUCCCUAGCUGGUCUGAGAGGAUGACCAGCCACACUGGAACUGAGACACGGUCCAGACUCCUACGGGAGAGCAGCAGUGGGGAAUAUUAGCACAAUGGGCGCAAGCCUGAUGCAGCCAUGCCGCGUGUAUGAAAGAAGAGCCUUCGGGUUGUAAAGUACUUUCAGCGGGGAGGAAGGUGUUGAGGUUAAUAACCUCAGCAAUUGACGUUACCCGCAGAAGAAGCACCGGCUAACUCCGUGCCAGCAGA